GCUGGGUGUGGUGGCUCACACCUGUAAUCCUAAGUACACGGGAGCUGAGGCAGGAGGGUUGCCUGUUGAAGGUUCUGUCUCAA
rnacentral:sRNA from 1 species